AGAGUUUGAUCCUGGCUCAGAACGAACGCUGGCGGCGUGCCUAACACAUGCAAGUCGAACGGAGAUAAGGGGCUUGCUCCUUAUUUUAGUGGCGCACGGGUGAGUAACGCGUGGAUAAUCUACCUUGGAAUCUGGGAUAACAUCUCGAAAGGGGUGCUAAUACCGGAUAAGACCACGAGCUCUUCGGAGUUUGCGGUAAAAGGGGGCCUCUGUAUAUGCUUCUGUUUCAAGAUGAGUCCGCGUACCAUUAGCUAGUUGGCAGGGUAAUGGCCUACUAAGGCGACGAUGGUUAGCUGGUCUGAGAGGAUGAUCAGCCACACUGGAACUGAGACACGGUCCAGACUCCUACGGGAGGCAGCAGUGGGGAAUUUUGCGCAAUGGGGGAAACCCUGACGCAGCAACGCCGCGUGAGUGAUGAAGGCCUUCGGGUCGUAAAGCUCUGUCAGAGGGAAAGAAGUGUGGGAGGGUUAAUACCCCUUUCACUUGACGGUACCCUCAAAGGAAGCACCGGCUAACUCCGUGCCAGCAGCCGCGGUAAUA
rnacentral:rRNA from 1 species